rnacentral:rRNA from 1 species
AGCGAACGCUGGCGGCAGGCCUAACACAUGCAAGUCGAACGAAGCCUUCGGGCUUAGUGGCGGACGGGUGAGUAACACGUGGGAACGUACCUUUUGGUUCGGAACAACUCAGGGAAACUUGAGCUAAUACCGGAUGAGCCCUUAGGGGGAAAGAUUUAUCGCCGAAAGAGCGGCCCGCGUUAGAUCAGCUAGUUGGUGAGGUAAAGGCUCACCAAGGCAACGAUCUAUAGCUGGUCUGAGAGGAUGAUCAGCCACACUGGGACUGAGACACGGCCCAGACUACUACGGGAGGCAGCAGUGGGGAAUCUUGCGCAAUGGGCGAAAGCCUGACGCAGCCAUGCCGCGUGAAUGAUGAAGGUCUUAGGAUUGUAAAAUUCUUUUUCCAGGGACGAUAAUGACGGUACCUGGAGAAAAAGCCCCGGCUAACUUCGUGCCAGCAGCCGCGGUAAGAC